UCUAACAGGUAUGGGCAGUAGAGAUAUUACUGGCCCUACAAGACUAUGUUGUUUCGUACGUUCCGCAUCAAAUUCCACGCUUCAUUCAAUAUCAAGGUUGGAAGGGUUGGAGGUAUAACAGAAAACAUGCUAUUUUCGAUAGUAAAGUUACAACAGUAGUAAUGAAAUUAGAACCAACGCUACGAGAAUGGAAAACGGAUGUCGUUUGCUUUGUGCGUGACAGUUUCCAGCUUACUGAGACCCAGGAAGAUGAUGAGGAGGGUAAUGAGAUUGAUCACAAGAAGGGUGACGAGUCAGAUGAUAGCGAUGAGAAAGGCGUGGAGGGAGAGUGACCGAGGGGUGGUAUACCAAAUGUUGUUCUUAUGGAGGAAUUUAAGAUUGAGAGGGAAGAGUUGAAGAAGGAGAGAGAGGAAUUGAAAAAUGAGAGGGAGGAAUUGAGAAAAGAGAGGGCAGAGAUGAGAAGGAAAGAAGCAUUGUUUAAUGAUAGGGAAACAUUACUGAGGAGGGAGAAGGAUUUGUUCUUUGUGGACAAGGAAUGGUUCUUCAAGGACAAAGAAAAGUUAGUGAAUGAGAUGGAGGAGUUUAAUAAGGAGAAGGAAGGUAGUCGUACACAGAGGGGAUGUAAUGUGAUGGAGGAGGAGGGUGAGGAGUUGAGGAAGAGAGUGGAAGUAAAUGAUAUUGAAGA